UGGGGGGGGAGGUGGUGAAGGCUGCAGCGCCGGGGUCCUCACGCCCUUUCUCAUUUGGUAGGGGGAAAUGGAAUCUCGCGAGAAUCAUGUUGCUGGCUGGUCAUCCUGGAGGCUUGGCAUUUACGGGGCGGGGAGAGGUUAGGGGUCGUUGUCGUGAUGGAUACCCUUGGUUCUUUCUCCACCCCGCUCCCUCCCACUGCCCCGUACCCCAACUGUCGCGAGAGUUUAAUGGAGUAACUAGGAUGAACCCCUUGCCGGGAGCUAGCCGGAAGGAUUACGCAGACGGCCUAGAGAGGAAAUGGAAUUCCCCGGGGCGCGUGCACAUCUCUGGGUGAUGGUACCCAGGCCGGUGGGUGCUGCCUUUGACAGUUCGGGAUGCCGGUGCCGCGGGGCCUCCGGUUAAUUUGAGGACUCGGGAGUGAGAUGCGCCUAAUUAAAAGAUCCCUUCAGGAUGCCCGUGGAAGAGCUCUUGGGUCGGUUGCCCCGGGUCAUCUCGGGGCAGGCCGCCUGGAUGUCGACCAGGGCCCCGGCCAAGGUUAAACGCAGGGUUCGACGCCCUGAAACGGGCUGUUCCUCGUUUUUCCAUUUAAAUGCAGAGGGCUGGAGAGAGUGAAACCCAGCAAAGUGACCUAGGAGGCAUUUUGGUAAUCGUGUUGAUCAAAAUACUAAUGCUGAUCGUAAAGUGUGAUAUAAGUUAAGGAAUCAUUUCCUGGUUGUCUUGGCUCAGUGUUUCCUACCCCUCUAAAGCAGGGGGAGGUCGUUUUGCUCUAAGUUGUAACUUAAAGACAUAGUUAGGGAACCCCAAUCUCCUAGACCUGGGAGAAGGCAGUCUUACAGCUUUUGAAUGUCAAAGGAACUUUGAGGCUGAUGGCAAGUUGACUGAUACCAUGUUUCUGUAAGUAUUUUUUUGGAAUAAAGUCUUCUCUCCAUCCCUAAUUUUUAAGGUUUUGUACUUGGAAGGGAUUUUGAAUUUAAGAACUUUACAGUAAGGAAGCCUUAGCAGUUCCGUUCAACAAAAAUAUAUUAGUUGCCUACCGUAAUAUGUAUGGGAUACAGUUCUGGGUCUGGAGAUAAGAAAAACAGACCCUUACCUGUAAGGAAAUAUUAGAAGGAUGUACUUAAAGACUUUAAAAGAAAGUUAGACAAGUUCCUCAAUGCAAAAAUUAUUUUUAAACAAUUUCAAAAGACAGACUUGUCCGAUGUCUACAGCCUAGGUAAACAGGGUGACCCAAUAGCUUUUAGCACAUCUACUCAUCUUAGAAGCUACAGAGGGCCUCUUCCUUCUCCUUAGCCUCUCUACCCCUUUGUCUCUUACGCUCUCUAUUCUGCAUUAACCCCUCUUUGUCUCUCUUAACUGACAUUUUUGAUUUUGAGGAUUAUUUGUUCAGGUGAAUUUUCUGUUUCCUGUUAAGAAGGUGAGUGGGACACCUUAAAUUUUAACCAGGUUACAGUCUAAAUAAAUGAAAGACAAAUGGGCAUCCAUCAAACAUUGGUCUUAAUUGAUACCUUUUUUCCCUGGCAGUAGCCUGUGACAGCUAGAACAAAGGUUCUUAAUUCCUAAUAUAGGCUGUAUGUAUUCCAGAGAAUUUAUUUUUUAAAAAAUACUUUUUCAUACUGUAGUGCCUUGCUACGUAUUAGCAAGUUAAGUUUUCUGAAUGAACCACACUUAGUUUUAAUUGUGAGAUCACUAGGUCAUUGUUCCUACCUUUGGUACCCUGGCUUUAAAGUAACAGUAUUAAUAAUAUUAGAAAUGUGGGCAUUUUAUCCCCCAAAGACUUUAUAUUUCUCAUAACUUACCUCUGAUAUAAGUAUAUCUUACCAUUUCAUUGUGUUAAUAUAAAAAUAGGACUUGUGAGGCAAAGUGGCUUGUUAGUUAUAAUUUAGUAGUUUGGCAAAAUCAGAAUGAGGGGUGUAUAAAAGUCAACAUACUGAAUAAGAUUCUAUGUCAUAUGAUGAGUAAACUCUAUCAUAGAUAUGAAUUCACACUUUUCACAUGCAUUAACUCUUUUAAACUAUUAUGACACCUAACAGAUUAAAAAACAUAGUAAACUUAACAUUAAAAAAAAUUGGAUCACAAAACUUUCACAAGUCCUCGUACUUAUACAACAUAGAGAUGAUGCAUCUUAUUAUAGUAAUAACCUUACUUCUCUGGAACUCCCUUAUCCGGCAACCUCAUCUAUCUGGAACACAGACAAAAGCCAGCAGAUAAGCAGCAAAGUAGCCAAAAUAGAGGUCAUAAAAUCCAAGCUUGAAGUUCUUUUACUAACCUUACUUAUAGGAGAGGCCAUGGGGACUUCACUCAGAGCUUACUAACUCUUAUUUUGAAGUCUAAUAAUGAGUUUGAUAAACUAGUUUCCAAUUUUACUGUCAGACCAGAAGCAGCAAAUUAGACAGGAGAGAGGCUACCAAAGACACACUAACAGCAUAGGAAAACUUCUGACAGCCAGAUAUCAAGAAAUGAGAAAAACUAAAAUUUAGACACAAGAACGUAAAAAAAAAAAAAAGCACAUCUGCCUGGGGCCAUUUAGUAUAGGGGCAAACAGACCUACACACUUCAUUAGGCCCUGAUGGCAUCACUCUUACAUCACAGUAAAUGAUGUUCAUAAUGAUGAUGCUGAGUCAUCUUCAUGGAAAGAUUAAAUUAUGUUCUGUAUACUCCGUUUAAAAAGUCAAGGAAGCAUAGAAUACCUUAAAACCUUAAAGCAGGAAGCAUUUAGAAAGAUUUCAAUUCAAAAAUGGCUAACAUUUUUUAAAAGUUGUGUUGCUUAUGUAGAUAAACAUUUAGCCUUCCAUAAAACUCAGCUAUUCAGAAUGACUUAUAAUAAAUAUGAAUAGGGACUGGACCUGUGAUGUCAUUGAUAUAAGUAACUCCUAAAGAACUCCCUUUACCAAUGUGAGGAGUCACCUGCUCUGAGGGUUAGUGCUCACAGUCACAGAGCAUGUAUGUAACAGUGACAGAUGGCUGAGAGGCCAGCUCUCUAUCCACUAGUUCAUGGCUAUUCUAAUAAUUGAAACAGAGUAUCUUCCUUACAGCAACCCUGUGAAAUAGAUGCUAUACAUACUACUCCCCUUUCACAGGUAAGGAAACUGAUUCAUACAGUUAAUAAGUGUUGAAUUUUGCCCUGGACUCAAAUCCACAUCUUCCAGUUUCAGGGUCAGAGUUUUUUCACAAUAUAUUCCAUGGGGGCUCUGAACAAAUGAAAAAAAACCUUAAUAUUAACUCCUUAAGGCAUAUAUUGUUAUACUGAAAUUGGUUAUCUGAUACGGUGGUGUAAAAUUCAAAUAGAAACAAAUCUCUGCAGGCCACAUACUGACUUAGAAAACCUUGAGUUCUUUUAUUUCAUUUGUUUUGUUGAACAUUUCUUAAUUACAUUUAAACCUAGUUCAGCUGAGCUAGGUUCAUGAGCUCAGGAGUUUGGCUCCUCAGAAUCUAUUAGAGUAAUAGAUGUUGUUUGUCCUUCAUUCUCAAAGAGGACCAGUGGCAUCACCAGGUGAUUAACUUGUACCUGGAUUGGAUUGAACUGAGGCAGAGUUUCACAAAGUCAUCAGUAUCACUCUCUCCUCCAGUCAUCCAAAGUCAAGACAACUGACAGUAGCCCAGAAUGCAGUGGAUGACCUUGGCCUUUCUAAAUUAAGGUUUUUUUUCCAGGCCUCGGUCUGAGGCCAUACCCAUCCGAUAGAUAAUGGAAGCAGAAAGAUGUGGGUGGGCUUAAAUCUUGUGCUGAUCAAGUUACUAUAUCUCUGUUCACCUUAGGCCACUCCCUAGUAUCAUAUAGUCCUAUAUUUAGAGUUGGAAAGGUCUCAGAGAACAUCUAAUCUAACCUUUACCAAUGAAGAACUUAGGGACAAGAGAGAUUAAACUUGGGAGGUUUUUCUGAUUCUAAGUCCAGGACUCUACCCCCUAAGCCAUGCUAUGGAGCUAUGAGUUACAUUUUAAAUUUACCAAAAAAAUUUGUAGUUGCUGAUGAUAUGAUACUUUUUGCCCAGUAUUGAGCAGCUAUGGUGGCUAAAGGAAAGUGUUUGAAUUUACCUGUGGAUAUAAUUAACAUGGAUCAAUACAUAUACUAACUUGACAAUACAUUUGUAUUUUUAGACUUUAUAACUUUGUCAUUUGUUUUUUAGGUUUGGGAAACAUGAAAGUAAUAAAAAGGACAUAAUUUUAUAAAUUUAAUUUAUAUACACGUGGUACUUGUUCACAUUCUUAUCUGGAGUAUAAUGUGUAAAAAUGUUUGGCAAGUCAAAAAAAUUAAUACUUGGCUAUUUUAAAUGAAUACAAGAAACAAAAAUAAUCCUAUACCAAACCUUCAUGAAUGUGGACUGAGGCACAAAUUAUGAUUGAUAGAACCAAAGGUAAACUUUGUGUUUAGAAUGUCAGUUUAAACUUUAAGUGAAGUUAUAGCCUGAAAAAAAUUGAAGAUCUAAUAAAAAUCAGACUAGAAGUUUAGAAAAAAAAUUAAAAUGUUAUUUUCAAAUGCAUGUGACACAAAGUCAUCUGAUGCCAGAAAUGUUGAAGACUGGUAGAUUUUCAAAAUUUAUAUUAAAAACCUAUACACAAAGCUAUAACUUGAGAUUGACAUAAGCAAUUUAUUGUCAUGUUGUCAUAUCAUGAUUUUGAAGAUAAUUUCAUUGGUACUUAUUAUUUAUAUAAUGGAAAUUACUGAAUAAAAUUUUUUUAAUUUCA